GACGAACGCUGGCGGCGUGCUUAACACAUGCAAGUCGAGCGGUAAGGCCCUUUCGGGGGUACACGAGCGGCGAACGGGUGAGUAACACGUGGGUGACCUGCCCUCAGCUCUGGGAUAAGCCUGGGAAACCGGGUCUAAUACCGGAUAUGACUCCAUGACGCAUGUUGUGGGGUGGAAAGCCUUGUGCGGCUGAGGAUGGGCCCGCGGCCUAUCAGCUUGUUGGUGGGGUGAUGGCCUACCAAGGCGACGACGGGUAGCCGGCCUGAGAGGGCGACCGGCCACACUGGGACUGAGGCACGGCCCAGACUCCUACGGGAGGCAGCAGGUGGGGAAUCUUGCGCAAUGGGCGAAAGCCUGACGCAGCGACGCCGCGUGAGGGAUGACGGCCU
rnacentral:rRNA from 1 species